rnacentral:rRNA from 1 species
UCGAGAAUCUUUCGCAAUGGGCGAAAGCCUGACGAAGCGACGCCGUGUGAGCGAUGAAGGCCUUAGGGUUGUAAAGCUCUUUCGCCUGUGAGCAAAGGAAUGUAUCAAAUAAAUACGUGACUUGAGAGUAGCAGGUAAAGAAGCACCGGCUAACUCCGUGCCAGCAGCUGCGGUAAUACGGAGGGUGCAAGCAUUAAUCGGAAUUAUUGGGCGUAAAGGGCGCGUAGGCGGGAACAUAAGUCAGACGUGAAAUCCCGGGGCUCAACCCCGGAACUGCAUUUGAUACUGUGUUUCUUGAGGAUAAGCGGAGAAAAUGGAAUUCCACGUGUAGCGGUGAAAUGCGUAGAUAUGUGGAAGAACACCUGUGGCGAAAGCGAUUUUCUAGCUUAUACCUGACGCUAAGGCGCGAAAGCAAGGGGAGCAAACA